CUGCAUGCUGCUCCACUUCAUUUCCCUGCAUCAUCUCAAGAAAAAACUGUAAAUCAAGGUGAACUACCACAUAUUAUAUACCAGGUUUGUUGUCUAUAUAUGUUUUUGUUUUUAGAGUAUUCACUAUCUGAUUUGCUGAUGCUUUUUAGAUAUUGUUCAAGAAUCUUGAUUUGGACAUGAAGGCAGUUACUCCAUUUCCCUGCUGUUCCUUUGGUUGAAGAUAUGAAUAUGUUUUUUAUUUUUCUCUUUUGAUUGCAACUGCCAACUAGAUAAUUAAAAACUGUUUGCUGAAAAACUUAUUGAUCCUUUACUUUUGCAGGGUGCUUCCAAUGGUAAUGGAUAAGGCAAGGGUAUUAAAGAUAUAUAGUUUCUACUAUAAAUAUUGUCCAGAAGAGUGUUUCAAGCAACAAUGGCACUUGUUUUAAAGAUAAUUAAGAAACUCUGAAUACCAUGGUUUGAAUAAUGCAAGUGAAUCCCUUAAACAUGCCAUGCAACGUGCUAUUGGGAUGUGCAUCAAUGGAGAAGAUUCUGUCCAAAAGGGGCAACAAUUUAAUCUUUUAUCUCUCUUGUUGAAGCACUGAAGAUGAGUGAUACAAGAGUAUUGUUGUCUGCUCUUCACAAUGUCAUUUAGAUUUUAUCCAAUUGCUAGAAUCCACCUGAGUCGCUUGUUGACCGGUUUAACUGGUAAGUUAUUGGCGACAAGGUGUCUAGUUGGUAUGCAUUUGAUGACGUGUCAAUUACAUGCCAUGUCACCUCACCAAAACUUACCGGUUGGUUAAAUUGGGAAUAGAACAUUUUUUCAGUGGAACCAAAACUCUAUGAUUCUUGGAUGCAACAGGUGUCUAUGCCAUUUAAUGACUGGUUUUCCACUUUUCACAGCGGAAGUGGACAGAUGGUUUCUCUUUGCCAGUUUUAUUCCACCAUUUGUUUCUCAAUUUCAGAAUCUUGAGGUAUUUUUGAAUCCUUUUG